CACUCUCCUAAGGAGCUCCUGAGAGUGGCUCAGCGGUCCAGGGAGAGAGUGGACUUCUCCAAGAUCAGACUCCUUGAGAAGGUCCUUCCUGCUCUCACAGACAGGAUCGUGGGCUGAACCAGCACCUAAGACCACAGCUCCCUUCCAAAAUCUUGGCUAUCUGGACGUCUUCACGUGGGUGUUCCACAAACAACCCCAAAUCAACGUUGUUACAAGAUAUUAAAUACAGUUGCCCGUGCUAUACGGACUGCCAGGAGUCACAGGGCAGGGGAAUCCAACAGUCCUGCCAAGCCCGGAUCGCCUCACCAUGGACGAUUACUGCGAGAUGAAUCACUCCAGCACUGACGCUGCGGAGCUGGCCGAAGGAUCCC